rnacentral:rRNA from 1 species
GACGAACGCUGGCGGCGUGCCUAAUACAUGCAAGUCGAACGAAGCUGUUUUAACUGGUGCUUGCACCGACUUAAACAACUGAGUGGCGAACGGGUGAGUAACACGUGGGUAACCUGCCCCAAAGCGGGGGAUAACAUUUGGAAACAGAUGCUAAUACCGCAUAACCACAGAAACCACAUGGUUUCUGUGUCAAAGAAGGUUUCGGCUAUCACUUUGGGAUGUACCCGCGGCGUAUUAGCUAGUUGGUAAGGUAAUGGCUUACCAAGGCAAUGAUACGUAGCCGAACUGAGAGGUUGAUCGGCCACAUUGGGACUGAGACACGGCCCAAACUCCUACGGGAGGCAGCAGUAGGGAAUCUUCCACAAUGGACGAAAGUCUGAUGGAGCAACGCCGCGUGAGUGAAGAAGGUUUUCGGAUCGUAAAACUCUGUUGUCAGAGAAGAACGUGUGCGAGAGUAACUGUUCGUGCAGUGACGGUAUCUGGCCAGAAAGCCACGGCUAACUACGUGCCAGCCGCCGCAGUAA